UGACAGCUGCUAGAGUGAGCCAGGGCAGUGGCUGCCAUGCUUUGUCCCUGGUUCCCUUUUCAGAUCAGGGCUGGGAUCAGUGAAACAGCAUAGAACUUCAACCCUGGUAUUUGCCUAAAAUAUGGAGCAGAUGGUAAGAGUGACUGUGCUCCUGAUCCUGGGUACUGGCAGCCUUGCUAAGACCACACAGCCCUUCUCCAUGGACUCCUACGAGGGACAAGAGGUGAACUUGUCCUGUACCCACCCCGACAUUGCUACAAGUGAAUACAUCUUCUGGUACCGACAAGUCCACCACCAGGGACCACAAUUUAUUAUUCAAGGGUAUAAGACAGACGUGGCCAAUGAAGUGGCAUCUCUGUUUAUCCCUAAAGACAGGAAGUCCAACACCCUGAGCCUGCCCCGGGUUGCUCUGAGAGACACUGCUGUGUACUACUGCAUCGUGGCUGAGGCACAGUGA